rnacentral:rRNA from 1 species
AUGAGUUUGAUCCUGGCUCAGGAUGAACGCGCAAGGCGCACCUUACACAUGCAAGUUAAAUGAAGUUUUAAUAAUUAAUUAUUAAAGUGUUCAUAGCGGACGGGUGAGUAUAACAUAAAAAUCAAAUUUUAGAUUAGAAAUAACAAAAUUAAAGUUUUGAUAAUUUCUAAUAAACGCAAAAUAAGUGUUUUAAAAAGGUUAUUACUGUCUAAAAAUGAAUUUAUGCCUGAUUAGCUAGUAGGUAAAGUAUAAGCUUACCUAGGCGACGAUCGGUAGUUGGCCUGAGAGGGCGGUCAGCCACAUUGGGAUUGAGAUAAGGCCCAAACUCCUAAGGGAGGCAGCAGUGGGGAAUUUUCUGCAAUGAGCGUAAGCUUGACAGAGUGACGUCGCGUGAAGGAAUAAGGCUUUUAAAGUUGUAAACUUCUUUUGCCUUAGUUAUCAAUACUGAUAUUAAAAGGUUUCAAAAAGCAUCGGCUAACUUCGUGCCAGCAGCCGCGGUAAUACGAGGGAUGCAAGCGUUAUCCGGAAUUACUGGGCGUAAAGCGUCUGUAGGUGGUUUUAUAUGUCUUUAGUAAAAAUACUUAUUUUAAGUAAGUAAUAAUUAAAGAAACUAUAAAAACUAGAGUACAUUUUAUUUUAGGGGUAAGAGGAAUUUCUUAAGGAGUGGUGAAAUACGAAGAUAUAAGAAAGAAGGUUCUAAGCGAAAGCUUCUUACUGGGUUGUUUAAACUGACACUGAGAGACGAAAGUUAAGGUAGCGAAUGGGAUUAGAUACCCCAGUAGUCUUAACUGUAAACGAUGGGUACUCGAUAUUGAUAUUUAUAAAAAAAUAACAGUUUCUUAGCUAACGCGUUAAGUACCCCGCCUGAGAAGUACGUCCGCAAGGGUGAAACUCAAAGGAAUUGACGGGGGCUCGCACAAGCGGUGGAGCAUGUGGUUUAAUUCGAUGCAACACGAAAAACCUUACCAGAGCUUAAUUUGGUGUGAUAAAAAUAUCUUAAUAGAAUUUUUGUAUAAGCAUACAAUAGGUGGUGCAUGGCUGUCGUCAGCUCGUGUCGUGAGAUGUUGGGUUAAGUCCCGUAACGAGCGUAACCCUUAUUAAAAGUUUAAAUAAAAAUAUUUACUUUUUUACUAUUUAAUUUUAUAUUUUAAAUUCAAAGAUUAAAAGGAAGUAAGGAUGACGUCAAGUCAGUAUGCCCUUUAUGCUCUGGGCUACACACGUGCUACAACGGAUAGUACAAUAGGAAAUAUUUAUUAUUAUAUCGUAAGAAAAAAUUAAACCUUAAAACUAUUCUUAGUUCAGAUCAUAAACUGCAACUCGUUUAUGUGAAGUUGGAAUCGCUAGUAAUCGCCGGUCAGCUAUACGGCGGUGAAUUUGUUAUCGAGCCUUGUACACACUGCCCGUCACGCCACGGAAGUUAUGUUUUCCCAAAACUAUUUUAUGAAAUAACUAAGGAAAAAUUAAUAACUGGGGUGAAGUCGUAACAAGGUAGCCGUACUGGAAGGUGUGGCUGGAUUUUAA